CCCUUAGAUGUUCUGGGCUGCACGCGUGUUACAAUCGGGAGUACAACAAGAUUGCAAAUCCUAGUGGAUGAGUGGUUCUUCGAAAUUUUCUGAAGACUGGGAUGGUUGAUUGAAAUUAUUCAACUCAAACGAGGAAUUCCUUGUAAUUGUAAUUCAUUAUAUUGUAAUGAAUACGUCCCUGCCCUUUGUACACACCGCCCGUCGCUCCUACCGAUUGAACGAUCCGGUGAAUUAUUUGGAGUAGCUCUGGAAGUUGCAGAACUUCCUAUGUCACGAAAUUUUGUAAACCUUAUCGUUUAGAGGAAGGAAAAGUCGUAACA
rnacentral:rRNA from 1 species